AACGGCAUAGCUGGGUAGCUAUGUGUGGACGGGAUAAGUGCUGAAAGCAUCUAAGCAUGAAGCCCCCCUCAAGAUGAGAUUUCCCAACUUCGGUUAUAAGAUCCCUCAAAGAUGAUGAGGUUAAUAGGUUCGAGGUGGAAGCAUGGUGACAUGUGGAGCUGACGAAUACUAAUCGAUCGAAGACUUAAUCAAAA
rnacentral:rRNA from 2 species